AACGAACGCUGGCGGCGCGCUUAAUACAUGCAAGUCGAGCGAGAAGACGUAGCAAUACGUUUGUAAAGCGGCGAACGGGUGAGGAAUACAUGGGUAACCUACCCUCGAGUGGGGAAUAACUAGCCGAAAGGUUAGCUAAUACCGCGUACGCUCCUUGGACUUCGGUUCAGGGAGGAAAGCGAUACCGUGGGUACCGCGCUCUUGGAUGGGCUCAUGUCCUAUCAGCUUGUUGGUGAGGUAACGGCUCACCAAGGCUUCGACGGGUAGCUGGUCUGAGAGGACGAUCAGCCACACUGGCACUGCGACACGGGCCAGACUCCUACGGGAGGCAGCAGUAAGGAAUAUUGCGCAAUGGGCGAAAGCCUGACGCAGCGACGCCGCGUGGGGGAUGAAGGUCUUCGGAUUGUAAACCCCUUUCGGGAGGGAAGAUGGAACGAGCAAUCGUUCGGACGGUACCUCCAGAAGCAGCCACGGCUAACUUCGUGCC
rnacentral:rRNA from 1 species